rnacentral:rRNA from 1 species
GAUGAACGCUGGCGGCGUGCCUAAUACAUGCAAGUCGAACGCUGGAAAUCUAGCUUGCUAGAUUGAAGGAGUGGCGAACGGGUGAGUAAUACAUAAGCAACCUACCCACGAAGACUGGGAUAAUCUCUGGAAACGGGGACUAAUACCGGAUAGGUAAUCGGAAGGCAUCUUCUGAUUAUUAAAGGUUAAAAACACUGGUGGAUGGGCUUAUGGCGCAUUAGUUAGUUGGGGAGGUAACGGCCCACCAAGACGAUGAUGCGUAGCCGGCCUGAGAGGGUGAACGGCCACAUUGGGACUGAGACACGGCCCAGACUCCUACGGGAGGCAGCAGUAGGGAAGUGUCGGCAAUGGGGGAAACCCUGACCGAGCAACGCCGCGUGAGUGAUGACGGCCUUCGGGGUGUAAAGCUCUGUUGUAAGGGAAGAACGGUAGAUAGAGAAUAUCUAAAUGACGGUACCUUACCAGAAAGCCACGGCUAACUACGUG